AUGGGCGAAAUUCCCGAACCAGAGGUUCCCAAGCCCACGCCGGAGCCAUCGACGUGGCUCAGCAUGAGAGUCUUCUACCUGCGGCUGAGCAGGUGCGAGGUGGACGAGUCCAUGCUGGACUCCCUGACCAUCACCCACGCCCCGCUCACCUCCGACACCGUCCUGGAAGUGAACGGCGAGAGGCCAAGAAGCACCGACAACCACCACGGCCACGUCUCGUGCCCCCUCCGCAGGGACCGCGUGGACGCGGCGUCGCGGGAGGCCUCCUUCGUCAGCACGGCGACCGUGAGGAUGGCCGGGAGCGUGCGCUUCGAGGUCCGCGUCGGCGGCCGCGAGAGGCUCCUCGUGGGGAUCAUGGAGAUGUGCGACGUGGCGGAGGAGAAGAAGGGGUGGGUCAUGAAGUGCCAGGUCGCCAUGCAGCGGUGCUCAGGGUUCGUGAAAGGCGGCGGGGAGGAGGGCGCCAAGUCGCCCAUGGUCGAGGUGUACGUGGCGAGCCUGUUCCGGGGCAGCCCGGUCGUGUUCACCAAGGCGAUGAAGCUGCGGCUCAGGAGGACGCGCCAGGUCAAGGCGCCUUUCAUGGAGCCCAUCCCCGAGUGCGGCGAGCACGCCGACGACGACGCGAAAGAAACGCCGCCUGACCAGAAGCAUGAUCCACAGGAAUCGGAGUACAGGUGCUACAGGCCGGAGCCGGGCAUGGACGACGUCGACUACGACAGCUUGUACACGAGAUCGGCGGGCCUGGACGGCGAGGACAGCGAGCUCUCGUGGUUCACCGCCGGCGUCAGAGUGGGCGUGGGCAUCAGCCUGGGCAUCUUCCUCGGCGUCGGCAUCGGCGCUGGACUCCUGGCCCGUUCCUACCAGUCCACCUCCAGGAGUAUGAGGCGGCGGCUCAUCUCCGGCCUGCUCUGA
rnacentral:rRNA from 1 species